AAAGAGAUUACAAGGUAGUGUUUGUGGUACUUUCGACGGUAUCUUGGCCAGAUGAACCCUUCAAACUCGAAAGGUAAGACUAAAUUUAUGUCCGAAAAUAAGAAACAUCUCCAGCAGUUGACAAACCAGACAUCUGUUCAUAGCAUGACAACUUUUAUGUAAAUUAUUAAACCCUUCAAGAAACUAUAAUGUCUGCAUCAUUCUCACCAAGAAAACUCUUGAAUCAACGAAAUCGCGACUUUUUAAGAAC
rnacentral:lncRNA from 1 species